rnacentral:tRNA from 1 species
GAAGUUGUGGCUCAGUUGGUAGAGCACUUGCAUAGCAUGUGUGAGGCCCUGAAUUCAAUUCUCAGCACUGCA